rnacentral:rRNA from 1 species
CAUUACUGAGUUUACGCUCUAUAACCCUUUGUGAACAUACCUAUAACUGUUGCUUCGGCGGGUAGGGUCUCCGUGACCCUCCCGGCCUCCCGCCCCCGGGCGGGUCGGCGCCCGCCGGAGGAUAACCAAACUCUGAUUUAACGACGUUUCUUCUGAGUGGUACAAGCAAAUAAUCAAAACUUUUAACAACGGAUCUCUUGGUUCUGGCAUCGAUGAAGAACGCAGCGAAAUGCGAUAAGUAAUGUGAAUUGCAGAAUUCAGUGAAUCAUCGAAUCUUUGAACGCACAUUGCGCCCGCCAGCAUUCUGGCGGGCAUGCCUGUUCGAGCGUCAUUUCAACCCUCAAGCUCUGCUUGGUGUUGGGGCCCUACAGCUGAUGUAGGCCCUCAAAGGUAGUGGCGGACCCUCCCGGAGCCUCCUUUGCGUAGUAACUUUACGUCUCGCACUGGGAUCCGGAGGGACUCUUGCCGUAAAACCCCCAAUUUUCCAAAGGUUGACCUCGGAUCAGGUAGGA